rnacentral:lncRNA from 1 species
CAGGGGUGGAGCAAGAGGAUCUGUGAAGGACGUGAAGCUUUGACCAGGCUGUGCGGCAGGCUGUAUUAUGAUUGGCUGGAGGCACUGUUCUGCUGCCUUCUCUGUGUCCUGUGACAUCACCUACGUGUCUCACCGUUAGCAGACUCUCUCAACCCCAGGUAAGUAGAGCUGCUGGUUGGCCAUAGCCUAGCCUCAGGAGGGUAGCUCUGAGGAGCAGCCCAUGACAGAAUUCCACUAAGGCGGAGAAAAAUUCGAACAGUACUCUUGGUGGCACUGGAGGCCCUCGGCAGCUGGUGAAAUAUCUGAGCCUUUCUUUCUGUCUAGAUCCAGGAACAGGAGGAGCCACACCCAACAGCUAUAAAGGCAGGAAGCAUCCACAAGACUGAAGCACAAAAACAUGAAAACCAAGUGUGUGUGCACAACGUUCCAACUAACCGUCAUGCAGAAGUCUGUUUCACACACAUCAGAUGCCUACAUGGUGUUAUAGACCUAUAAUCCCAGCUGUCUGGAGGCUGAGGCAGUAGGAUCUCAAGUUCUAGACCAGCCUGAGGCUACAUGGUGACCAGUCUCAAACAACCAAAGGAAAAUUUAAAAAAAACAUAUAUAUACUCUUUUCUAUUUUUCUCUUUCUUUUUAAUUUAAAAACCUUUUUCUCAUUUAUACAAGGAUAUAUAGGAUUUCAAAGG